UGGGGGAUAUUGCACAAUGGGCGAAAGCCUGAUGCAGCGACGCCGCGUGGGGGAUGAAGGCUUUCGGGUUGUAAACCUCUUUCGCUAUCGAACAAGGCCCGCUAGGGUGGGUUGAGGGUAGGUGGAGAAGAAGCGCCGGCUAACUACGUGCCAGCAGCCGCGGUAAUACGUAGGGCGCGAGCGUUGUCCGGAAUUAUUGGGCGUAAAGGGCUUGUAGGCGGCUUGUUGCGCCUGCUGUGAAAACGCGGGGCUUAACUUCGCGCGUGCAGUGGGUACGGGCAGGCUUGAGUGUGGUAGGGGUGACUGGAAUUCCAGGUGUAGCGGUGGAAUGCGCAGAUAUCUGGAGGAACACCGAUGGCGAAGGCAGGUCACUGGGCCAUUACUGACGCUGAGGAGCGAAAGCAUGGGUAGCGAACAGG
rnacentral:rRNA from 1 species